rnacentral:rRNA from 1 species
UACGGGGGGGGCAAGCGUUGUUCGGAAUUACUGGGCGUAAAGGGCUCGUAGGCGGCCAACUAAGUCAGACGUGAAAUCCCCAGGCUUAACCUGGGAACUGCGUCUGAUACUGGAUGGCUUGAGAUUGGGAGAGGGAUGCGGAAUUCCAGGUGUAGCGGUGAAAUGCGUAGAUAUCUGGAGGAACACCGGUGGCGAAGGCGGCAUCCUGGACCAACACUGACACUGAGGAGCGAAAGCACGGGGAUCAAACAGG